UACGGAAGGCAGCAGUGGGGAAUAUUGGACAAUGGGCGAAAGCCUGAUCCAGCCAUGCCGCAUGAGUGAAGAAGGCCUUCGGGUUGUAAAGCUCUUUUAGUGAGAAAGAUAAUGACGGUACUCGCAGAAGAAGUCCUGGCUAACUCCGUGCCAGCAGCCGCGGUAAUACGGAGAGGGCUAGCGUUAUUCGGAAUUAUUGGGCGUAAAGAGCGCGUAGGCUGAUUAGUAAGUUAAAAGUGAAAUCCCAAAGCUUAACUUUGGAAUUGCUUUUUAAAACUGCUAGUCUAGAGAUUGAAAGAGGAUAGAGGAAUUCCUAGUGUAGAGGUGAAAUUCGUAAAUAUUAGGAGGAACACCAGUGGCGAAGGCGUCUAUCUGGUUCAAAUCUGACGCUGAGGCGCGAAGGGCGUGGGGAGCAAACAGGGAUUAGAUACC
rnacentral:rRNA from 1 species